UUUGUCCAGCACUGGCCAGAAGCCUUGUCUCAAACUCCUGCAUCCACUGAUCAAGCCAGUGAGGAUCGGUGACCUAGUAGAGCCUGCCCGUUUCAGCAGCAUUUGUGUGUGGUGCAGCUCAGCUCAAGCCAUUGAGAAGACAUCUGCCUCCUGGGGUGUGAGACAUUCCGAAGGAUGAGGACAGGAGCUGCAGGACCACAGAGAACAUCAGCCCUCUCCUAGCACGUCUGAGUUUAUCCUCAAUGAAUUUUAUUUCAGAGAACCGGCUAUCAGACCCAGGAGGGCCGGGGGAAAGUCUUUCCACCAUGAUGUGAACAAAUUUCAAUAUUACCUGCACCCAGAAAGGGAAACACAUAUCGGCCCGGAUACCAGCAGCCCUCACCAAGGAAACCGCGUUCGCGGUGCUGAGGGCAUGGCCUGGUAACGGGGCCUCCAUCCAAAGGGCCUCCCUCCAUGGGGCCGUGAUGUACGUGUUCCUGUGUCUGGCUUCUUUGAGUCAGCAUUACACCUGGAAAAUCCGUCUGUGGCAUUACAUGGAGUCCUCCUCUGUUCUUUCUCAUCACUAUAGAAUAUGCAUGGCCACAUGGUGGCUUCUUUGUUCGUUAGAUGGUUGUUGGACUAUUGAGUUCCUGCCCAGGUCGGGGAAGUUGUAAACAGCGCUGCUUUGGAUGGUCUACUUCGUGCUCUUUGGUGAAGAUAUUUACUCAUUUAUUGUCGGUAUACUUGUAUGUAUUUAUAUAUCUGCAUAUACGUAUAUACAUGGGUAUACACACACUAUAUGUGUGCAUAUAUGAGUGUAUAUGUAAACGUGUGUAAGUAUCUGUAUAGCUUGUGUGUUUAUAUAUGUGUGUGUAAAUAGUGUGUAUAUAUUUAUAUGUGUGUAAUAUAUAAUGUGUAUAUAUGUGUGUUCAAAUAUAGUG